rnacentral:rRNA from 1 species
AACGAACGCUGGCGGCAGGCUUAACACAUGCAAGUCGAGCGCCCCGCAAGGGGAGCGGCAGACGGGUGAGUAACGCGUGGGAACGUACCUUUUGGUUCGGAACAACUCCGGGAAACUGGAGCUAAUACCGGAUAAGCCCUAACGGGGAAAGAUUUAUCGCCGAAAGAUCGGCCCGCGUCUGAUUAGCUAGUUGGUGAGGUAACGGCUCACCAAGGCGACGAUCAGUAGCUGGUCUGAGAGGAUGAUCAGCCACACUGGGACUGAGACACGGCCCAGACUCCUACGGGAGGCAGCAGUGGGGAAUAUUGGACAAUGGGCGCAAGACUGAUCCAGCCAUGCCGCGUGAGUGAUGAAGGCCUUAGGGUUGUAAAGCUCUUUUGUCCGGGAAGAUAAUGACUGUACCGGAAGAAUAAGCCCCGGCUAACUUCGUG